UAAUCACCAAUAAUCAACAUUAAUCACCAAUAAUCACCUUAAUCGAUUAACCUCUACCUGUAACCUCUAAGCUAGACAGGUGUGUUAGUGUGUCUGAAGCUGAACAGGUGUGUUAGUGUGUCUGAAGCUGAACAGGUGUGUUAGUGUAUCUGAAGCUGAACAGGUGUGUUAGUGUAUCUGAAGCUGAACAGGUGUGUUAGUGUGUCUGAAGCUGAACAGGUGUGUUAGUGUGUCUGAAGCUGAACAGGUGUGUUAGUGAGUCUGAAGCUGAACAGGUGUGUUAGUGUGUCUGAAGCUGAACAGGUGUGUUAGUGAGUCUGAAGCUGAACAGGUGUGUUAGUGAGUCUGAAGCUGAACAGGUGUGUUAGUGAGUCUGAAGCUGAACAGGUGUGUUAGUGAGUCUGAAGCUGAACAGGUGUGUUAGUGAGUCUGAAGCUGAACAGGUGUGUUAGUGUAUCUGAAGCUGAACAGGUGUGUUA